ensembl:snRNA U4 U4 spliceosomal RNA
AGCUCUGUGCAGUGGCAGUAUUGUAGCCAAUGAGGUUUAUCCAAGGUGCGAUCAUUGCUAAUUGAAAAUGAACAGCACAAGGCAGUGGACCUUGUGAGAAGUUGAGAUAUUUUCACACACCUGGCAACAGAAGCACUAGAUUUUUCUA